rnacentral:rRNA from 1 species
GAUGAACGCUAGCUACAGGCUUAACACAUGCAAGUCGAGGGGCAGCGGUAUCGAAAGCUUGCUUUCGGUAGCCGGCGACCGGCGCGCGGGUGAGUAACGCGUAUCGAACCUGCCUCAUACUCGGGAAUAGCCUUGCGAAAGUAAGAUUAAUGCCCGGUGUUUUCAGAGUCCCGCAUGAGGCUUUGAACAAAGAUUUAUCGGUAUGAGAUGGCGAUGCGUCCCAUUAGCUUGUUGGCGGGGUAACGGCCCACCAAGGCAUCGAUGGGUAGGGGGUCUGAGAGGAAGGUCCCCCACAUUGGAACUGAGACACGGUCCAAACUCCUACGGGAGGCAGCAGUGAGGAAUAUUGGUCAAUGGGCGGAAGCCUGAACCAGCCAAGUAGCGUGCAGGAAGACGGCCCUCCGGGUUGUAAACUGCUUUUAGUUGGGAAUAAAACGGGGCUCGUGAGCCCCCUUGCAUGUACCAUCAGAAAAAGGACCGGCUAAUUCCGUGCCAGCCGCCGCAGUAA